ACGGAAGGCAGCAGUGGGGAAUAUUGGGCAAUGGGCGCAAGCCUGACCCAGCAACGCCGCGUGAGUGAAGAAGGCUUUCGGGUUGUAAAGCUCUGUUGUCAGGGACGAAUAAAUGACGGUACCUGACAAGGAAGCCCCGGCUAACUACGUGCCAGCAGCCGCGGUAAUACGUAGGGGGCAAGCGUUGUCCGGAAUGACUGGGCGUAAAGGGCGUGUAGGCGGCCGAUUAAGUCCGGAGUGAAAGUCCUGCUUUCAAGGUGGGAAUUGCUUUGGAGACUGAUGAGCUUGAGUGCAGGAGAGGUAAGUGGAAUUCCCAGUGUAGCGGUGAAAUGCGUAGAGAUUGGGAGGAACACCAGUGGCGAAGGCGACUUACUGGACUGUAACUGACGCUGAGGCGCGAAAGUGUGGGGAGCAAACAGGAUUAGAUACCCUGGUA
rnacentral:rRNA from 1 species